AUUGAACGCUGGCGGCAUGCCUUACACAUGCAAGUCGAACGGUAACAGGUCUUCGGAUGCUGACGAGUGGCGAACGGGUGAGUAAUACAUCGGAACGUGCCUAGUAGGGGGGGAUAACUACUCGAAAGAGUGGCUAAUACCGCAUGAGAUCUACGGAUGAAAGCAGGGGAUCGCAAGACCUUGUGCUACUAGAGCGGCCGAUGGCAGAUUGGGUAGUUGGUGGGAUAAAAGCUUACCAAGCCGACGAUCUGUGGCUGGUCUGAGAGGACGAUCAGCCACACUGGGACUGAGAUACGGCCCAGACUCCUACGGGAGGCAGCAGUGGGGAAUUUUGGACAAUGGGCGCAAGCCUGAUCCAGCAAUGCCGCGUGCAGGAUGAAGGCCUUCGGGUUGUAAACUGCUUUUGUACGGAACGAAAAGCCCCGGGUUAAUACCCUGGGGUCAUGACGGUACCGUAAGAAUAAGCACCGGCUAACUACGUGCCAGCCGCCGCGGUAA
rnacentral:rRNA from 1 species